rnacentral:hammerhead_ribozyme from 1 species
AUCCAGCUGACGAGUCCCAACUAAAAUGAAACGCACGUCCUGGAU